GAUGAACGCUGGCGGCGUGCCUAAUACAUGCAAGUCGAGCGAACGGACGAGAAGCUUGCUUCUCUGAUGUUAGCGGCGGACGGGUGAGUAACACGUGGAUAACCUACCUAUAAGACUGGGAUAACUUCGGGAAACCGGAGCUAAUACCGGAUGAUAUUUUGAACCGCAUGGUUCAAAAGUGAAAGACGGGCUUGCUGUCACUUAUAGAUGGGUCCGCGCUGCAUUAGCUAGUUGGUAAGGUAACGGCUUACCAAGGCAACGAUGCAUAGCCGACCUGAGAGGGUGAUCGGCCACACUGGAACUGAGACACGGUCCAGACUCCUACGGGAGGCAGCAGUAGGGAAUCUUCCGCAAUGGGCGAAAGCCUGACGGAGCAACGCCGCGUGAGUGAUGAAGGUCUUCGGAUCGUAAAACUCUGUUAUUAGGGAAGAACAUAUGUGUAAGUAACUGUGCACAUCUUGACGGUACCUAAUCAGAAAGCCACGGCUAACUACGUG
rnacentral:rRNA from 1 species